AUCUUUCUAGUACAACUUAGUAUACGUGACUUCCAAUCACCCGGCCUUGGUUAAAAUCCAAGGAGAGAUA
rnacentral:tRNA from 1 species